rnacentral:tRNA from 1 species
GGUUAAGUCAUCUAAUGGCAAGAUUUUGGUUUGCAAAACCAACCAUAGCAGUUCAAAUCUGCUCUUAACC